UGACACUUUCUCCGGAAUCGCUGUAUUUCCGUGAUGAAUACACAUUUGAACCCCUUUUCAGCUGAUGACUGUACAUUAGUGGU